CCUACGGGCGACUGCAGUCGAGAAUCAUUCACAAUGGGGGAAACCCUGAUGGGGCGACGCCGCGUGGGGGAAUGAAGGUCUGCGGAUUGUAAACCCCUGUAAUGGGGGAGCAAAUUAAAAAGAUAGUACCACAAGAGGAAGAGACGGCUAACGCUGUGCCAGCAGCCGCGGUAAUACAGAGGUCUCAAGCGUUGUUCGGAAUCACUGGGCGUAAAGCGUGCGUAGGCUGUUUCGUAAGUCGUGUGUGAAAGGCGCGGGCUCAACCCGCGGACGGCACAUGAUACUGCGAGACGAGGGUACUGGAGGGGGAACCGGAAUUCUCGGUGUAGCCGU
rnacentral:rRNA from 1 species